GACGAACGCUGGCGGCGUGCUUAGCACAUGCAAGUCGAACGGAAAGGCCCUGCUUUUGUGGGGUGCUCGAGUGGCGAACGGGUGAGUAACACGUGAGUAACCUGCCCUUGACUUUGGGAUAACUUCAGGAAACUGGGGCUAAUACCGGAUAGGAGCUCCUGCUGCAUGGUGGGGGUUGGAAAGUUUCGGCGGUUGGGGAUGGACUCGCGGCUUAUCAGCUUGUUGGUGGGGUAGUGGCUUACCAAGGCUUUGACGGGUAGCCGGCCUGAGAGGGUGACCGGCCACAUGGGGCCUGAGAUAGGCACCAGUCUCCAACGGGAGGCAGCGGGGGGGAAUAUUGCACAGUGGGCGCAAGCCUGAUACGGAAACGCCGCGGUCGGAAUGACGGCUUUCGGGUUGUAAACCGCUGUCGCCGUUGACGAAGCGGGAGUGACGGUAAUGGGUAAAGAAGCACCGGCUAACUACGUG
rnacentral:rRNA from 1 species